ACACCGGCGGCCCGAGUGGUGAUCGUGAUUAUUGGGUCUAAAGGGUCCGUAGCCGGUUUGGUCAGUCCUCCGGGAAAUCUGAUAGCUCAACUAUUAGGCUUUCGGGGGAUACUGCCAGACUUGGAACCGGGAGAGGUAAGAGGUACUACAGGGGUAGGAGUGAAAUCUUGUAAUCCCUGUGGGACCACCUGUGGCGAAGGCGUCUUACCAGAACGGGUUCGACGGUGAGGGACGAAAGCGGGGGGCACGAACCGGAUUAGAUACCCGGGUAGUCCCAGCCGUAAACGAUGCUCGCUAGGUGUCAGGCAUGGCGCGACCGUGUCUGGUGCCGCAGGGAAGCCGUGAAGCGAGCCACCUGGGAAGUACGGCCGCAAGGCUGAAACUUAAAGGAAUUGGCGGGG
rnacentral:rRNA from 1 species